UGCCGGAAAAAUGCUUCAGUUUUUUCAAGACAACUGGAGGAAUCUAUUGGACGCAGCGCUACACAUGGUAACAGCUGUUCUUAGGUCUGCCCUCGGGUAGGCCAAAGCAUUUAUUAGACUAAACCAUCUACUACGCUUGCUCGUAAUGUGGAAUCUGCGAUAACUUUGCUGAUCGUAUGGCCCUUGUGCCGGCGACGAUUUCAAUUGAGUUUCUGCCCCUAUCAACUUGUUUGGGAAGGUAUUGGGCUUACCAAGGGUUGCAACGUGGUAACGGGGAAUCAGGGUUCGAUUCCGGAUGAGGGAGCCUGGAGAAACGGCUACCACAUCCAAGGAAGGCAACAGGCGCGCAAAUUAACCCAAUCUAGACAGUAGGAGGUGGUGCAGAGAAUUACUAAAGUGGUGGUCAAAAUUGAUCACUCGUUUGGAAUGAACGUAAACUUUAAGGAAAUUCGUUUGAGAAAACAACUGGAGGGGCAAGUCCCUGGUGCCCAGCAAGCCCGCGGGUAAUUUCCAGCUCCCAGUAAGUUUUGCUUUUAAAAGUUGAUUGCCGUUUUAAAAACGCUCGGAAGUUGGGAUCCACGCCAGCCGCGUCCCAGGUAAUCUGCGGCCUGGUUCUGGCGGGAAGUUGUCCGGCUCGCCACGGGCGCGCCUUGCUUGAAACGGGUCCAAAUGAAUAUUAAACGGCUGGGAACACCGGCCUAAGUUUGGCACCUUGAAGAUAAGGUUUGGUUUGGCCCUUUAAAAUUGAGCCCGGUUAAACCCCCGGUCUUUGCCGGAGUGGUGCCCUUUGAAACCAAAACAAAAGUUCCUCAAAAGCCGGGCCGUUUUUGCCUUGUAAUUGUUUAUUGGCCAUGGGAAACGGAAAAAUUCCGUGGUAAUAUUUUUUCCGCGGCCAAUCCUGGGUGGGCCCCACCGAAGCCCUUUUUGGGUUCCGGAAGCCUGUUUAAGAAGGGCGUUGCCCCCCGCAAACCCCCACCCCAAAAAAUAUUUGGCCCGGUAUGG
rnacentral:rRNA from 1 species